rnacentral:sRNA from 1 species
AGAAGAACUCAAGCGAAGAAAAAGCAAAAAUGAAGAAAAAGAAGAGGAUGACGCAGAGAAUUACAGACUCUAGCUGCUGCCUGGGGGCGAGCAGCCUACCAGAUGUCGAUUUGCACUACGUGGAGCUUCUUAUAUAGGUACUCUUUUGUCUUUCUUUACAGAAUGACGAUACAAAUGCCAAUGACCAGAUGUGACUUACUUAUUUUCCUUUUACUAUACAGCUUGGCAGAGAAAAUAAAUAUCA